rnacentral:lncRNA from 1 species
CGGUAUCAAAAUACCAGACACGAUCCAGGGCAAUAACAGGCCUGAUUUCCACCUAGGGAGACAAGGGAGGGCCCAGCUGGGCCUCUUCACAGCAUCCGUGAUCGACCCCACCUGGCUGGAUGUUGCGGGGGCGGCAGGGCAGUCUCAGGCUUCCCGGCCAGAGCCUGCAGCCGGUAGCUCAUUGUGAAGCUGCUCUGAAGAACUCCCCUUUCCAGCAGCCAGUGUGCAUGAAGCCAGUUCACUCCCUCCUGGGGGUCGGUUUCAAGGCUUGCUCAGUCAUCUCUGGUGGUGUAGGUCUUUGUGUUCAGUUUUAUAAGUGGAGAAAACUGAAGAUGAUUCUGUUUACCUUACCCACCCCCUCACUUACCUCACCUAGCUCAGGGGCUGGGUAUGGGGUGGUCUCAGCCCAGGACAACCUUUUAAAUAUUAAACAUGGUACCAUGCGAUGUUUGUCAUACUUAUGACCUGGAGAAAUCAAAUGCGAUUACUCAGCCAUCUGAGCACAGACUGGUCACCCAGCAUGGAUUCAGUGAGCUUUUUCAUCUAAAUGAUGAAUUUCGUGGGAUGCUAAUAGAUAUGGAAUUCAUAAAUGGAACAGCUUAAGAGGGUGUUCUCAGCGGCAUGCCCAGUGAAAACUACUAUUGAACUUGACCUCCUGGAUAGGCCACUAUCCAUCCUGACUUCAUUGGCCAAACCCUGGGAUGCUGUAGCCUUGAAGUCGGCCUGACUCCAAGCAAAUCUAACUCUACUAGAACUCAAAGGAACUCACAGCAGUUUCCUUGGUGCCAUGAAGCCAAUGAACCCAUUUAGGACACGGAGAACAGCAUGCAACAUGAUCUGCAAGUUACUUGUCUGAAGUUCGGGGUUAUAAGGUCGAUGGAGGUGAGGAAACCGGCAUCUAACUAAAGGCACCAGAGGCUGAAGCAAGGAAGAUGCAGGGGAGCUACUGCCUUCCUGGCUCUCCCAGGUCAGUCAGGAGGUCCUUGCAAUAACUGGGGCGAGACUGGUGUGUUGGAACUGUCCCAAAAGAGGAUGUGGGAAGUGAGAGGAGGGAUGGAUCAGUGAGGGGUCAAGGAGAGGGAGGCGUCAAGGACGGUGGUGGUGGUGCCAGUGCCCCAGGUUUGGCGGGGAGCAGGGCGGACUCACCUUCCCCAUCCUGGAGGAGGGGCAGGCAGUGAGGUCACAUCCCUCCCCCGGCUGUCUCGGCAGGAACCAGCCAUUGUUUGUCAGCCUGUGCUGUCCCAGGAGCUGCGGCUUAGAAUAUUAAAAUCUUUCUCAGGUUUAUCUCCUCCCCAUCUCGCUCAUUUGAAAUCCCUGCAACUGGGGGGAGAAAGUUACUUUAAUCCUCUGGUUCCUAU